rnacentral:rRNA from 1 species
UUUCCGGUUGAUCCCGCCGGACCCGAUCGCUAUAGGGGUAGGGUUAAGCCAUGGGAGUCGUACACUCCCGGGAAGGGAGUGUGGCGGACGGCUGAGUAACACGUGGCUAACCUACCCUAAGGAGGUGGAUAACCCCGGGAAACUGGGGAUAAUCCACCAUAGGCGAGGAGUCCUGGAACGGUUCCUCGCUGAAAGGCCCAUAGGCUGUUCCCGUCUAUGGGCGCCUUAGGAUGGGGCUGCGGCCUAUCAGGUAGUUGGGGGAGUAAAGGUCCCCCAAGCCGAUAACGGGUAGGGGCCGUGAUAGCGGGAGCCCCCAGUUGGGCACUGAGACAAGGGCCCAGGCCCUACGGGGCGCACCAGGCGCGAAACGUCCCCAAUGCGCGAAAGCGUGAGGGCGUUACCCCAAGUGCUCCCGCAAGGGAGCUUUUCCUCACUCUAAAAAGGUGAGGGAAUAAGCGGAGGGCAAGUCUGGUGUCAGCCGCCGCGGUAAUACCAGCUCCGCGAGUGGUCGGGACUUUUACUGGGCCUAAAGCGCCCGUAGCCGGCCCGGUAAGUCAUCCCUUAAAGACCCCGGCUCAACCGGGGGAAGGGGGAUGAUACUGCCGGGCUAGGGGGCGGGAGAGGCCAGCGGUACUCCCGGAGUAGGGGCGAAAUCCGUAGAUCCCGGGAGGACCACCAGUGGCGAGGGCGCCUGGCUAGAACGCGCCCGACGGUGAGGGGCGAAAGCCGGGGCAGCAAACGGGAUUAGAUACCCCGGUAGUCCCGGCCGUAAACGAUGCAGGCCAGGUGUUGGAUGGGCUUAGAGCCCAUCCAGUGCCGCAGGGAAGCCGUUAAGCCUGCCGCCUGGGGAGUACGGCCGCAAGGCCGAAACUUAAAGGAAUUGGCGGGGGAGCACCACAAGGGGUGGAACCUGCGGCUCAAUUGGAGUCAACGCCGGG